GACGAACGCUGGCGGCGUGCUUAACACAUGCAAGUCGAACGGAAAGGCCCUGCUUUUGUGGGGUGCUCGAGUGGCGAACGGGUGAGUAACACGUGAGUAACCUGCCCUUGACUUUGGGAUAACUUCAGGAAGCUGGGACUAAUACCGGAUAGGAGCUCCUGCUGCAUGGUGGGGGUUGGAAAGUUUCGGCGGUUGGGGAUGGACUCGCGGCUUAUCAGCUUGUUGGUGGGGUAGUGGCUUACCAAGGCUUUGACGGGUAGCCGGCCUGAGAGGGUGACCGGCCACAUUGGGACUGAGAUACGGCCCAGACUCCUACGGGAGGCAGCAGUGGGGAAUAUUGCACAAUGGGCGGAAGCCUGAUGCAGCAACGCCGCGUGCGGGAUGACGGCCUUCGGGUUGUAAACCGCUUUCGCCUGUGACGAAGCGUGAGUGACGGUAAUGGGUAAAGAAGCACCGGCUAACUACGUG
rnacentral:rRNA from 1 species